rnacentral:rRNA from 1 species
AACGAACGCUGGCGGCAGGCCUAACACAUGCAAGUCGAACGAGCUGAGACCUUCGGGUCUCGAUGCUAGUGGCGCACGGGUGAGUAACGCGUGGGAACGUACCCUUUAGUACGGAAUAACCCAGGGAAACUUGGGCUAAUACCGUAUACGCCCUUCGGGGGAAAGAUUUAUCGCUAAAGGAUCGGCCCGCGUCUGAUUAGGUAGUUGGUGAGGUAACGGCCCACCAAGCCGACGACCAGUAGCUGGUCUGAGAGGAUGAUCAGCCACACUGGGACUGAGACACGGCCCAGACUCCUACGGGAGGCAGCAGUGGGGAAUAUUGGACAAUGGGCGAAAGCCUGAUCCAGCCAUGCCGCGUGAGUGAAGAAGGCCUUCGGGUUGUAAAGCUCUUUCGACGGGGACGAUGAUGACGGUACCCGUAUAAGAAGCCCCGGCAAACUUCGUGCCAGCCGCCGCUGUAA